AGAGUUUGAUCCUGGCUCAGGAUGAACGCUGGCGGCGUGCCUAAUCCAUGCAAGUCGAACGGAGUAUCAGCAAUGGUGCUUAGUGGCGAACGGGUGAGUAACGCGUUGGUGACCUGCCCCGAAGCGGGGGAUAACAGAUCGAAAGGUCUGCUAAUACCGCGUAAUCUGUGAGUAGUCAGAGAGCUUACAGGAAAGCCGAAAGGCGCUUUGGGAGGGGCCUGCGUCCCAUCAGCUAGUUGGUAAGGUAACGGCUUACCAAGGCGAUGACGGGUAGGGGACCUGAGAGGGUGGCCCCCCACAAUGGAACUGAAACACGGUCCAUACACCUACGGGUGGCAGCAGGAGGGAAUAUUGGUUAAUGUGCGAAAGCGCGAACCAGCAACGCCGCGUGAACGAUGAAGGCCUUCGGGUUGUAAAGUUCUUUUUGCCGGGAAGAGGAAGGACGGUACCGGCAGAAUAAGUCUCGGCUAACUACGUGCCAGCAGCCGCGGUAACACGUAGGAGACGAGCGUUAUCCGGAUUUACUGGGUGUAAAGCGCGUGCAGGCGGUUUGUUAAGUUGGAUGUGAAAGCUCCCGGCUAAACUGGGAGAGGUCGUUCAAAACUGGCAGACUAGAGUGUGGUAGAGGAGAGUGGAAUUCCGAGUGUAGCGUUAAAAUGCAUAGAUAUUCGGAAGAACACCAGUGGCGAAGGCGACUUUCUGGACCACAACUGACGCUCAGACGCGAAAGCCAGGGUAGCAAACGGGAUUAGAGACCCCGGUAGUCCUGGCAGUAAACGAUGUGAACUUGGCGUCGGCGGGAUAAAACCUGUCGGUGCCGAAGCAAACGCGAUAAGUUCACCACCUGGGGACUACGGCCGCAAGGUUAAAACUCAAAGGAAUUGACGGGGGCCCGCACAAGCAGCGGAGCGUGUGGUUUAAUUCGAUGUUACACGAAGAACCUUACCAGGGUUUGACAUGCAUGUGGUAGAGAAGCGAAAGUGGAUCGACCUUCGGGGAGCAUGCACAGGUGUUGCAUGGCUGUCGUCAGCUCGUGUCGUGAGAUGUUCGGUUAAGUCCGCUAACGAGCGCAACCCUUACUGCGUGUUACAAGUGUCACGCGGGACUGCCAGUCUUAAGCUGGAGGAAGGUGGGGACGACGUCAAGUCAGCAUGACCUAUAUGUCCUGGUCUACACACACGCUACAAUGGGUAGUACAAUGGGUCGCUAAGCCGCGAGGUGGAGCCAAUCCACAAAGCUAUCCUCAGUUCAGAUUGCAGGCUGCAACCCGCCUGCAUGAAGAUGGAGUUGCUAGUAACCGCAGGUCAGCUAUACUGCGGUGAAUACGUUCCCGGGCCUUGUACACACCGCCCGUCACGUCAUGGGAGCUGGUAACACCUGAAGCCGGUAUCCUAACCGCAAGGAGGGAGCUGUCGAGGGUGGGACUGGUGACUGGGACUAAGUCGUAACAAGGUAGGAGUACCGGAAGGUGCGGCUGGAUCACCUCCUU
rnacentral:rRNA from 1 species